GACGAACGCUGGCGGCGGGCUUAACACAUGCAAGUCGAACGGAAAGGCCCUGCUUUUGUGGGGUGCUCGAGUGGCGAACGGGUGAGUAACACGUGAGUAACCUGCCCUUGACUUUGGGAUAGCUUCAGGAAACUGGUGCUAAUACCGGAUAGGAGCUCCUGCUGCAUGGUGGGGGUUGGAAAGUUUCGGCGGUUGGGGAUGGACUCGCGGCUUAUCAGCUUGUUGGUGGGGUAGUGGCUUACCAAGGCUUUGACGGGUAGCCGGCCUGAGAGGGUGACCGGCCACAUUGGGACUGAGAUACGGCCCAGACUCCUACGGGAGGCAGCAGUGGGGAAUAUUGCACAAUGGGCGGAAGCCUGAUGCAGCAACGCCGCGUGCGGGAUGACGGCCUUCGGGUUGUAAACCGCUUUCGCCUGUGACGAAGCGUGAGUGACGGUAAUGGGUAAAGAAGUACCGGCUAACUACGUG
rnacentral:rRNA from 1 species